rnacentral:rRNA from 1 species
GUCCCCGUGCGGUGAUCCGUCUCCUCUCCACCCCUGCGAUGACCUAACCCAUAGCCCCUGCCCACCCCCUCCGCCGCCGGCGCCGGUGCCUCGAAGGUCAAGGGAAGACCCUCUACUCGGCCCCCAUCGCCGUCCGCGCCGCCGCCCUAUGCCGCCGCCACCACCGCCGUCCAAAUCGCCACCCCCAUAGCCGUCCAAACUGCUCUCGGCAACACCUCUCCAUCCCACGGCUGCCGAAGACAGGGAGGAGGACGAGGCUGGCUAGGCAGGGAGGCCGAGGGUGAAGUGCAGUGGGAGGCGCAUCGGUUAGUGCAGAGGGAGGUCUAUGGUCAGCUCAUUGGAAUCUCACAGGCCACCACGGGGAGAGCAAUCACGCAGGCACAUCAACCUCCCCCACCAGGUAUGUUCAAUUGAACCUUCACUAUUAGUUGAGCUAACCGUCUCCAACAGCAACGUCCCAAUCACAAAUAAUUAUUUAGGUUUCUUACUGUGUGCGUGGAUGGGGCAUCGGAAGGAUAGAUGGCAGUACUCGUGUGGAUGCAACAACUGACUAUGUUGUGGUGUUCAGGAAGGAGCGCAGAUACAGCAGCUGUCCAUCUGCAACCGCGGCCACGGGUGCCUAAUCUAACGCGACCUCCUGUUUUGACAUCGUCCUUGGUAGCUGCAAGCGUGGAAACAACCUUGGCAGUGCAGCGGCAGCCAUGAGGUUG